GGGAGCUUGGCUCAGUUGGAAGAGCGCAGGUCUCAUACGAAAGUGUGAUCCGGUGUCAAAUCGGGAUAUCCUGAGGUCGUGAGUUCGAGCCUCACAGUUCCCA